GUGUAAGCGAGUAAGGGCAUGCGGUGGAUGCCUCGGCGCCAAGGGCCGAUGAAGGGCGCGGCACACUGCGAAAAGCCUCGGGGAGCCGUGUGCGGGCGCUAUGACCCGGGGGUGCCCGAAUGGGGAAACCUGCCUGGGGUGAACCCCAGGCAUCCGUGGCUGAAUCCAUAGGCCACGGAGGGGCACGGGGGGAACUGAAACAUCUUAGUACCCCCAGGAAAAGAAAUCAACCGAGAUUCCCCUAGUAGUGGCGAGCGAACGGGGAAGAGCCUAAACCCACAGGGUGCCAAAGCCCGAGGGCGUUGCCCUGUGGGGGUCGUGGGACCCAUCCGGAGGCGGCCUCGGACGUCUCAGGGAGUUACCAAGCCUUGGCCUAGCCGAAGCGGUCUGGAAAGGCCCGCCAUAGAGGGUGAUAGCCCCGUAGGCGAAAGGUCGAAGGCCUCCCGGGGAUGGGAUCCCGAGUACCACGGCCCACGUGGAAGGUCGUGGGAAGCAGGGGGGACCACCCUCCAAGGCUAAAUACCCUUGGCGACCGAUAGCGCACCAGUACCGUGAGGGAAAGGUGAAAAGAACCCCGGUGAGGGGAGUGAAAUAGAACCUGAAACCGCAUGCCUACAAGCGGUCCGAGGGCUAUGGCCCCUUCGGGGGCAAUGCCUGAGGGCGUGCCUUUUGGAGAAUGAGCCGGCGAGUUACUCUCGGUGGCGAAGGCUAAGGGGGUCACACCCGGAGCCGGAGCGAAAGCGAGUCCGAACAGGGCGUCCCGUCGCCGGGAGUAGACGCGAAACCGGGUGAGCUACCCAUGGCCAGGGUGAAGCGGGGCUAAUCCCCCGUGGAGGCCCGAACCCAUCACCAGUGCAAAGGUGUGGGAUGAGCUGUGGGUAGGGGUGAUAUGCCAAUCGAACCCGGAGAUAGCUCGUUCUCCCCGAAAUAGCUUUAGGGCUAGCCUCACGCGGUCCGUGGCGGAGGUAGAGCACUGGUAGGGCUAGGGGCGUUAUGCUACCGAACCCUGUCAAACUCCGAAUGCCGCCACGUGCAGCGUGGGAGUCGGACCGUGGGGGAUAACCUCCAUGGUCGAGAGGGGAACAACCCAGACCGCCUGCUAAGGCCCCCAAGUCCGGGCUCAGUGGGAAAGGAUGUGGGGCUGCUAUGACAGCCAGGAGGUUGGCUUAGAAGCAGCCAUCCUUUAAAGAGUGCGUAACAGCUCACUGGUCGAGCGGCCCUGCGCCGAAAAUGUAACGGGGCUCAAGCCCGGCGCCGAAGCAGCGGGUUCUCGCGUCGAUGAGGCGCGGGAGCGGUAGGGGAGCGUUCCGCACGCGUUGAAGCGCGACCGUGAGGACGCGUGGAGCGUGCGGAAGUGAGAAUGCCGGCACGAGUAGCGGAAGACGCGUGAGAACCGCGUCCGCCGAAGGCCUAAGGUUUCCGACGCAAGGUCGAUCCGCGUCGGGUUAGGCGGGACCUAAGGCGAGGCCGAAAGGCGUAGCCGAUGGACAGCCGGUUAAUAUUCCGGCCCCACCCGGGUGGAGCGAAGGGGGGACGCAGGAGGGUAGGCCAGCCGGCCGCUGGCUGUGCCGGUGCCAAGUCCUUAGGGCGAUGAAGGCGGUAGGCAAAUCCGCCGCCGGAGCCUGAGGGAUGAUGGCGAGCCGGGGAAACCCGGCGGAAGUGGUCGAGCCCACACUGCCGAGAAAAGCCUCUAAGCGUUGAAGCCCGGGUGCCCGUACCGCAAACCGACACCGGUAGGCUGGCGUAAGCGCGCCAAGGCGGACGGGAGAACCCUCCUCAGGGAACUCGGCAAACUGACCCCGUAACUUCGGGAGAAGGGGUGCCUCGCGUAGGGUGAGGCCUUCGGGCCGAGCCCGAGGAGGCCGCAGUGAACAGGCCCUGGCGACUGGUUACCUAAACCACAGGUCUCUGCUAACCCGUAAGGGGAAGUAUAGGGGCCGACGCCUGCCCAGUGCCGGAAGGUUAAGGGGAGGGGUGACCCGGCUUCGGCCGGUGUAGCCCUGAACUGAAGCCCCGGUGAACGGCGGCCGUAACUAUAACGGUCCUAAGGUAUCGCCGGAAAGGCGCUGCCUGCCCGCCGGGCAACCGGCGGGGCAAUACCUGGCUAUAUGCGGGGAAGCCCUGAGAGCCCUCCCUACGUCUCCGGCUCAACGCCGGCGUAAAAAUGGCGAGGGAUUGGGCAAUCCGCAGGAAACUCCCGGCCUCCCUGUCGGGAGGAUCCUCAGAGGCCAUACGCCGGGCAUCCGGUCAGGAGGCUCCGGAUGAAGCUGUCUCCAGAUUGGGUGGUGGGAUUCGUGGACGGCGAAGGCUGUUUUCACGUUUCGAUCCAGCGUCACCCCUCCAUGGCCAUUGGCUAUCAGGUGCUGCCUGAAUUCGUGGUCGUCCAACACCGUCGCGAUAUCCAGGUACUCUACGCCCUCAAACGGUUCUUCCGCUGCGGCGUGGUUCGCCCUAACCAUGAAGAUCGCUACGCUUAUCGGGUGCGGCGGCUGGAGUGCCUGGAGCGCAUCUGUGACUUCUUCCUGCAGCAUCCUCUGAAAACUCGGAAGAACAUCGAGAUGCGUCGGUUCCGAAAAAUCGUUCUCCUGAUGAAGAAGGGACGGCACCGGACCCGAGAGGGGCUGCUGGAGAUCAUUGAGAUCGCCGCGCAGAUGAACUCCGCUAACCGCCCUGCCCUGGAACAGAUCCGCCAGGAGCUCUUGGCCGGAUGAAGAGAUGGUCCACCCCGUGGCGAAAGUCGCGGAACACGGUGAGCGAAAUUCCUUGUCGGGUAAGUGGAAACUUGCCCCGUCCCCUCGCGAGGGGGGAAUGAAAGCCGGCUCAUAUCGGGGAAGCCCUCCUGCGGUAGCGGGACCGCAGUGGGUAACCCCGAGGGAAGUCGUCCGGAGCGAAAGCGAAGGAUUGACCCCGUAACGACUGACCCGAAAGGGGAGGCGCACUCACCUCCGGUGCGCAACACGCCGGCUCUCACCCUUCUGCCUAUGGCAGAAGAAGGGGGCAACUAUGGAGGCGUCCUUCAAGCCAAAGGGAGGUGCGCGGUUGCAUCCAUGGUAUGUGACCGGUCUCGUGGAGGGAGAGGGCACCUUUAUGGUGAGUUUCAACCGGCGCCCGAAACUGCGGGUGGGGAUUGAAACGAGGCCCUCCUUCUCGGUCUCCCUCUCCGAACGGGAUCUGGAUCUCCUGAGGAUGUUGCGACGCUUCUUCGGGUGUGGGGGGAUCCGAUACAGCCGGUCCGAUCGGACAUACAAGUAUGAGGUGCGUUCGAUCACCGAUCUGGUCCGGAAAAUCAUCCCCCACUUCGAAAAGUAUCCGCUGGCUGGGGCAAAAAGGAGGGACUUUGAGAAGUUCGCCCAGAUUGUCCGGUGGGUGCAUGCGAACCACCACCUGAACCCGGACUAUCUGCGGGAGAUCAUCGAACUGGCCUAUUCGAUGAACCCCUCCGGCCGGCGGAAAUACGCGAAGGACGACCUCCUACGGUUGCUCGGUGAGAUGAAGGGAUAGUCUGCGCCCUGAGGAAACUCAGGGGAAACGCGAAGUUCCGACCCGCACGAAAGGCGUAACGACCGGGGCGCUGUCCCGAGGAGGGUCCCGGCGAAACUGCGAACUGCGUGAAGACGCGCAGUGCCCGCAGCGGGACAAAAAGACCCCGUGGAGCUUUACUGGAGCCUGGUAUUGGGUUAGGGUUUGGCCUGUGUAGGAUAGGUGGGAGGCUGAGAAGCCUGGGCGCCAGCCUGGGUGGAGCCACCGGUGAAAUACCACCCUGGUCAAAUCUUGGCCCUAACGCCGACCCGUGAACCCGGGCGGCGGACAGUGCCUGGUUGCCAGUUUUGCUGGGGCGGCAGCCUCCUAAAAGGUAACGGAGGCGCCCAAAGGUCCCCUCAGGCGGAAUGGAAACCCGCCGUUGAGUGCAAGGGCAUAAGGGGGCUUGACUGCGAGGCUGACAAGCCGAGCAGGGGCGAAAGCCGGGCCUAGUGACCCCACGGUUCCGUGUGGAAGGGCCGUGGAUCAACGGAUAAAAGCUACCCCGGGGAUAACAGGCUGGUGAGGCCCAAGAGUUCACAUCGACGGCCUCGCUCGGCACCUCGAUGUCGGCUCAUCGCAUCCUGGGGCUGGACAAGGUCCCAAGGGUCGGGCUGUUCGCCCGUUAAAGCGGUACGUGAGCUGGGUUCAGACCGUCGUGAGACAGGUCGGUCUCUAUCC
rnacentral:rRNA from 1 species